rnacentral:rRNA from 1 species
CCCUUAGAUGUUCUGGGCCGCACGCGCGCUACACUGAUGCAUUCAACGAGCCUAUCCUUGACCGACAGGUCCGGGUAAUCUUUGAAUCUGCAUCGUGACGGGGAUAGAUUAUUGCAAUUAUUAAUCUUCAACGAGGAAUGCCUAGUAGGCGCAAGUCAUCAGCUUGCGUCGAUUACGUCCCUGCCCUUUGUACACACCGCCCGUCGCUCCUACCGAUUGGGUGUGCUGGUGAAAUGUUCGGAUCGGCCGUUUGUCGCGGUUUCCGCGUCAUGUGGCUGAGAAGUUCAUUAAACCCUCCCACCUAGAGGAAGGAGAAGUCAUAACA